CAGGGUCAGGCAGCAAUGAGCAACCCUACUGUAAUGGUGGGUUUUCUGCUAUUCCCCCUCCAGUGCAGAAUAAAUGUCCUUUUGUCACUCUGUGGAGCACUCGAUUUCCCACAGAAUGGUUUAUUUCUACAGAAUUCUCCAGGCGCACAAACCAUUCUGUUCUGGUGAGCUCUGCACGUCUUAUUCAUGUUGCCUGUCUUUCCAUUUGAAAGAUAUUCAUCCUACAUCACUUUAAAGACAAAAGGUGAAGCAGUGCUGUAUGUAUCCUAAGUAACCUUGCAGAAUAUACAGGAGCACCGAGCAAUUUUGUGAGCAGAGCACAUCAGGGUUUUGUCUCCCAGCUUAAACGAGCAGUAUCACAUCGUGCUGCUGACACCAAGAGUGUAUCUAGGCAGCUGAAAACAAGAUGUGGUGCAGAGAAAAGUAUAUUAAAAAAAAAGAAAAGCUAGUUAUUGUGAUGACCACAGUGACAGCAGAUUACCCUGGCAGAGAAGAGCCACACGGGAGUCAUGAUUGUGCAGGACCAAAUCUGCUCUCCAUGGCAACAGGCAAGUGACAGGGGACAGCGUGGCAGGGGACAGCCUAGCAGGAGCCUCAUGUGGAGCAGGGACACGCUGUCCCACAGCCCUCACUGCCCUGGCCAGACUCUGCAGCUCUGUCAAUGCUGGAAGCUUUGGUCUCCAAAGCACCUUUGCAGCAGACUUAACUCCUAACAGGCAUUUACAAAUAAAGGAAGCAAUAAAUA